rnacentral:rRNA from 1 species
GCCGUAUCCUAUGUGCUUGUUUCCAUAUCGUCGUAUCUGUGUUGUUAUAUGGUGCUUCAUAGCAAAAACUUAUACUUACUAAAGAAAGUGUUCCUUUUCUUGGUCCCAUUGCUCCAUAAGCAUGAUCACGUUUCUACUAAUUGAUUAUACAUAUGAUCUUUCUUUUGAUUAUUUUGUGAUACUUCUGAUUGACACUAUGAGGUGCUUCCUUGUCAUGCAGAUUCAUCCUUUACUUAAAUACUGAUGAUGAUAUGGUUGUAAAUUAGUCUGGGAUGGCAAGGCAGCUUGAAGGUGGUCACGGCCAUCUCGCAGAGAUGGUGCAAGCUGUCAAGAAUCACGGUGCUGGGGCACUGCACUUCACCGCCGGGUGCAAGAUGGUGGAAGUGUGCGAGUACCUGUUGAGGAUGUCCAGGUGGACGUGGAUGUCGUUGACCAAGCAGGGUUGUUUUGCUGUCCCAAAGGCACACGGGAGUCUGCGGGAAAAAAACUGGCGACGUUUUCUCUUGGAUAUUCAGAAAAUGGAGACACUCGGCGACCAUCUCGCAGAGAUGGUGCAAGCUGCCAAGAAUCAGGGUGCUAGGGCACUGCACUUCACCGCCGGGUGCAAGAUGGUGGAAGUGUGUGAGUACCUGUUGAGGAUUUCCAGGUGGACGUGGAUGUCGUUGACCAAGCAGAUUUUGCCUAUUCUCUAA